CCAAAUUUAUAACAUAAAUCUAAUAAAAUACUUAAUUGAAAUCAAAGUAAAAUAAAAAGAUAAUUUACCAAAUAAGUAAACUACUAAUGGAGACUCAUAUAUAACACACAUGAAUUCACAGGGAUCAAGAUUGAAAUAAUCCCUCAUCCUGAAACAUUGUGUUGAGAUGCAGACUACAACAUAAAAGUAUUUCAAAUUUUGGGAAUAAUCUAAAAGAAAAUAAAGCAAAUCAAAUGCAAAUGGGAGCAGAUUACAACGCAGCACAAGGAGGAGGGACCUUCAGCACAAAUAUUCCAUUCUAGGCGCAAAAGGGUGGAUCCGGGUCUUCAAACGGGUAGACACGCGGACCCUACCCCCUUUUGGAGUGACGCCGUUUAGAUCUGCUACCAAACCCCUCCUUUCUCUAUCGUUUUUUUACCUAAAACACAAAUCCUUCCCCUUAGAUCAGCCCAUUCUUUUAGGGUUUCCUUUAGCAUGUCGCCGCCAACAAUGAAACUUCUAGAACCCAGAAAUCAGUUUGCAACCUCAAGAUCACUCCUCAGACUUCGAUUUCAGCGAAGCAAAGAAGAACCCGUGGCGAAUUUGCAAAGUAAGAUCCCCUUUCGUUUCUUUUUAUUUUCAAGUAUAAUAACGAAAGAUUGAAGAGAAAAAAAAAUAAAAAUGACCCAAUCAGAAGAACUAAAGCCAGUAAGAGACUGAAAAUCACCUCUGUUUGUAUAUUGCUUCUGUAUAUCCCGUAAAAAAAAAAGCCCUUACAAUCGAAAUCAAUAGGCUUUUAUAGCCGAAUGUAAAAAAAUAAAAAUGAAAUACAAUUUUUUUCUUUCUUUCUAUUUGCUGUUGCAUCCUGUUUGUCUUUUUCCAGGUACGGGGUCUGCUAGUAUGUGUACGGGGGUGGCUGCUAGACGGUACGGAGGCCGUCCAUGGGGGGUUGCUUGGUUGCGGCGCAGAGGAAAAGGAGAUGUCCUAAGGUUUUGUCCUGUUUUAGUGUUCUGGACCUGUCGGGUCCUGUAGGUUCGGGUCAGGGUUUAAUUAUUGGGCUUGGGUUAAUAGACUGUGGUUUUUAUAUUUAUUUAUUUGUUUUUGGUUUGUUUAUAAUGGGCCCGUGCACAUUUGGCCCACUACAGGCCUGUAACAAGGAGGUCACCCUUGCUUGUCAUUUAACAGCAACAAAUCGUAAUUUGUAAUAGUUAAUUUUGACACCUUUCCACUGAGCAUGAAUUUGUUCUAAUUGCUUGAUAAAUCCACAAGUAAACUGAUUAAUUUAAACUUAAAUCUUAAUCCAAUUAAUGAAAGCAUCCAAACAAAAAUAAUCUAAACUUUUUGAAAAGAAAUUAUAAGUAAAAAUUGUAAACUUUCAAAUAAUUGUCAUCAAAAUUAACUAUUACAAAUCAUGAUCAGGCGUGCGACUUAAACUAAAAUAAGAUUUGGACUAAAAAUUUACAUAUAAGACUAUAACACCCC
rnacentral:lncRNA from 1 species